rnacentral:rRNA from 1 species
UACGUAGGGUGCAAGCGUUGUCCGGAAUUAUUGGGCGUAAAGAGCUCGUAGGCGGUUCGUCGCGUCGGCUGUGAAAACCUGAGGCUCAACCUCAGGCCUGCAGUCGAUACGGGCGGACUUGAGUACUGCAGGGGAGACUGGAAUUCCUGGUGUAGCGGUGAAAUGCGCAGAUAUCAGGAGGAACACCGGUGGCGAAGGCGGGUCUCUGGGCAGUAACUGACGCUGAGGAGCGAAAAGCGUGGGGGAGCGAACAGG